rnacentral:rRNA from 1 species
GACGAACGCUGGCGGCGUGCUUAACACAUGCAAGUCGAACGCUGAAGCUUGGUGCUUGCACUGGGUGGGUGAGUGGCGAACGGGUGAGUAAUAAGUGAGUAACCUGCCCUUGACUCGGGGAUAAGCCUGGGAAACUGGGUCUAAUACUGGAUACGACAUGUCACCGCAGGGUGGUGUGUGGAAAGGGUUUUACUGGGUUUGGAUGGGCUCACGGCCUAUCAGCUUGUUGGUGGGGUAAUGGCUCACCAAGGCGACGACGGGUAGCCGGCCUGAGAGGGUGACCGGCCACACUGGGACUGAGACACGGCCCAGACUCCUACGGGAGGCAGCAGUGGGGAAUAUUGCACAAUGGGCGGAAGCCUGAUGCAGCGACGCCGCGUGAGGGAUGACGGCCUUCGGGUUGUAAACCUCUUUCAGCACGGAAGAAGCGAAAGUGACGGUACGUGCAGAAGAAGCGCCGGCUAACUACGUG